CAGUAGCCACGGGAAUACAGAGGGUGCGAGCGUUAAUCGGAUUUACUGGGCGUAAAGCGUGCGUAGGCGGCUUCUUAAGUCGGAUGUGAAAUCCCUGAGCUUAACUUAGGAAUUGCAUUCGAUACUGGGAAGCUAGAGUAUGGGAGAGGAUGGUAGAAUUCCAGGUGUAGCGGUGAAAUGCGUAGAGAUCUGGAGGAAUACCGAUGGCGAAGGCAGCCAUCUGGCCUAAUACUGACGCUGAGGUACGAAAGCAUGGGGAGCAAACAGGAUUAGAUACCCCUGUAGUCCCUGUCUCUUAUCC
rnacentral:rRNA from 1 species